CCUCCUUACUAUUACGUCGAUGACGCCCUUGAUGCAGUGCCUACACAGAUUGUUUUGUUUAUUUAUAAAGACUCGCUUUGCGAGUGUCGCGAAUAGCUGCUUAAACGGAAGAAAAUCUUCCUGACAGCCAUUCUGCUCGCUAAAGUGGUAGUUGUUUUUAAAUAGAAUGCUAAUCAAUAACUCAUUAUUGAUUAGUGUUUUUUUUAUAAUGCACUAAUGUUCUUUAACAAUUUGGAAAGCUGAUAUUAAUAGUAAUCAAUCAAAAGAGUAAUUGAGAAGUCGAAAGACGCACUUUUUUACUCUACUUGACUUGAGUUGCUUGUUAUCGAAACGCCGCAAGGCGGGUUGACCGGCCUUGUCCGGUUUAACAAAAGAAAGGUAGCAAGGCCAAUUUCUUCCCGAAUUAACUCGUCCUUGGCAUACCAACAUUACCCCCAUGUUCCCGACCGUCCAAA
rnacentral:misc_RNA from 1 species